rnacentral:misc_RNA from 1 species
AACAUCGCGCACCUGCGGGAACCUGCGGAAGGAUCAUCAUCGAGUGUAAUCUACCCCUUUAAAAAAGGGUAGUACCUCCCGUCCUUUGCAGGCCUCUUUUUUUAUUAGGGGGGGCUUUUUAAGACUUUCUGCUUCGGCGGGGUUACUCCCGCCGGAACACCCUCAAAAAAUUCUCGAAAAAAAUCGUUCAGUCCGAGAACUUUUUAAAAAUAAAAUAAAACUUUUAGCAAUGGAUCUCAG